UACGAAGGGGGCUAGCGUUGCUCGGAAUGACUGGGCGUAAAGGGCGCGUAGGCGGCGCAGUUAGUCAGGUGUGAAAUUCCUGGGCUCAACCUGGGGACUGCGCUUGAUACGGCUGUGCUUGAGGAUGGAAGAGGCUCGCGGAAUUCCCAGUGUAGAGGUGAAAAUUCGUAGAUAUUGGGAAGAACACCGGUGGCGAAGGCGGCGAGCUGGUCCAUUACUGACGCUGAGGCGCGACAGCGUGGGGGAGCAAACAGG
rnacentral:rRNA from 1 species